ACAUAACUGAUGCCUCCGCGUAUCGACUUUGUGCGCAUUUUAGCUAUUAUGUGUUCUUUUAAUUAAAAUGAUUCUUUUUAAGAUUCAUCUAUUAAAAAUUUGCUUCGGCAUAAUUUUUUUUGAUGAUCUUGUUACUUUGAGUAAAUUAGAGUGUUCAAAGCAAACAGAUAUAGCAUUUGUGCGUUUGAAUACUACAGCAUGGAAUAACAAAAUUGAACAAGUCAGAAUUUUUUUGUUCUUUUUUCUUAUUUUGGCUUAGUUACGAUUAAUAGGAGUAGCUUGGGGGCAUUUGUAUUCAGAUGUCAGAGGUGAAAUUCUUAGAUUUUCUGGAGACAAACAACUGCGAAAGCAUUUGCCUAAAAUACUUCCAUUAAUCAAGAACGAAAGUUAAGGGAGUGAAGACGAUCAGAUACCGUCGUAAUCUUAACCAUAAACUAUGCCGACUAGGCUUUGGAUGAAAGAUUUUAAAAUAAGAGUUUUUCUUUUCUCUCCGGAGAUUAGAACUCUUAGAUUGCUUCCUUCAGUGCCUUAUGAGAAAUCAAAGUCUUUGGGUUCUGGGGCGAGUAUUCGCGCAAGCGAGAAAGUUAAAAGAAUUGACGGAAGGGCACCACCAGGCGUGGAGCUUGCGGCUUAAUUUGACUCAACACGGGAAAACUCACUAGUUUAAGACAAGAGUAGGAUUGACAGAUUAAUAGCUCUUUCUUGAUUUCUUGGAUGGUGAUGCCUGGCCGUUUUUAGUUCGUGAAUAUGAUUUGUCUGGUUAAUUCCGAUAACGAACGAGAUCUUAACCUGCUAAUUAGCGGCAAAUACGAUAUAUUCUUAUGUAGAAUUGAAUAUAGUGGAUUUGUUAGAUUUUGAAGAAAAUAUUGGAAUUACGUUAAAUGUGAUUCCUUUCCCUUUUCUACUUAAUUUACAUUUCCAUCUAUUUCUUUUUUGCGUAUGAAUGUAUUUGCUUGAUUGUAAAGCUUCUUAGAGGAACGAUGUGUG
rnacentral:rRNA from 1 species